rnacentral:rRNA from 1 species
AUUGAACGCUGGCGGUAUGCUUAACACAUGCAAGUCGAACGGUAACAGGCCUUCGGGCGCUGACGAGUGGCGGACGGGUGAGUAACGCGUAGGAAUCUGCCUCAUAGUGGGGGACAACGUGGGGAAACUCACGCUAAUACCGCAUACGCCCUACGGGGGAAAGCGGGGGAUCUUCGGACCUCGCGCUAUGAGAUGAGCCUGCGUUAGAUUAGCUAGUUGGUAGGGUAAAGGCCUACCAAGGCGACGAUCUAUAGCUGGCCUGAGAGGACGAUCAGCCACACUGGGACUGAGAAACGGCCCAGACUCCUACGGGAGGCAGCAGUGGGGAAUAUUGGACAAUGGGCGCAAGCCUGAUCCAGCAAUACCGCGUGUGUGAAGAAGGCCCUAGGGUUGUAAAGCACUUUCAAUUGGGAGGAAAACCUGCCGGUCAAUACCCGGCAGCUUGACAUUACCUAUAGAAGAAGCACCGGCUAACUCCGUGCCAGCAGCCGCCGUAACAC